rnacentral:lncRNA from 1 species
AUGCACGUGGUUGCUGUCACCAAUUAUUCUAAUCAAGCACUUUUGUUUUGUACGUGUAGAGCUUCACCAGAGCUUUUAGCAAUGGCUCGGUUUUUCAACGUUUUGGUGGCAUAUGUAGGCCUAGCUGUAGUCCAAUCAGAUUUAAAGAGUACUUCUCGCACAGACGGGUUGCCCUACCACUACCGUGGACAAUGGAUUCUCCCCAACGACGGUCAUCCAUACGGGGAACAAUCAGACGAAGACUCGCUUGAGGCACGGACCACCUGGCCCGCUGUGAUGCAGACCGCUGCUCUGGUGGUCACCGAGCAGGAGGCUCCACAGCUGGAGACAAAGCAGGAGCCGCACGACUUGGAGGAGCAGGAUGAUGUUGAAGACUCUACCUGGUGGAAGGGUUUAGUGUUGGCAGCCGUCCUGUUGGUGUCUGCUAUGGCCACUCUCAGCGUGGUCUAUUACCUGUGUGUCUGGAGAGGCGGGCGGAUCUACUACCAGCCCCAGCACGACCUUUCCUCUGGGAUGUGAACAAUAUGAACUCCUGUAAAUACGCUUCUUUUUGGAGCAAUAAAAUUACUUUGAAAAUGGUAAAUAGGCGAUUCUCUCAUUCAUAUUAAAAACGUAUUGCUUUAAUUUAAUAUCUGCUUUAGUUUUGAGAUAUCCUGCUUGCUCCAAGUCAUUCUAACCAUGCAGUUCACUCUACAGACUACUAGGGGACCCACUUUGUUGGUGAAGAUAAUAUAAAAUAAAAAAAUAUAUAAACGCUUCUUUGCUGACUUUUACAGGUGGUCGUUACGGCGGACUCGUAUGGCAUGUUUUAGAAUUUCGGUAGUUUAUUUGGCGGUCGAUUUUGUAGGCGGGCAUUGUUCAGAUGUCACUGCACUAGCCAUGUCUCUUUGAUUGGUGCCCCCCCCCCCCCCCCCCCAUACUGUUGAACACGAACCCUCACCGCACCCCAUUCUACAGAGCAGAACCCCCUCACGCACUGACCACAAAGGGAACAACAUCCAACAUUAACCUUGUGUUUGCUUUUGCGUUUUGGAUUUGUACAGAUAUUUAACAUUAAAAAAUGUUUUUGUUGUAUAGGCUACUCUGCAAGUGUCAGUUAUGAAAGGAUAUGUUUUGAAGUGAGCGGUACGGCUGUCGUGUUUUGUUUUUUUCACUAUUAUUGUCUUAAGACAAUAUUAUAGUUCUUAAGACAAUAUUUUCAAUUGUGUAGGCUAUACUUUUAUACCCGAUUUAACAUUGAUUGGACUGUGUAUACUGUCGUCUUUUUAGGGGUUUCAAUAUUAGGUGGACCGUGUAUAUGUGAUAUGGAAAACUUCCAUUAGUUAUGACGAGUUUCGAAAAUGAUGGAUCAGUUGUUGGCGUAUUUGAGACGUCUGCUGGUGUGGUUGUGUACUGCAGAUCUGCAUUCGCCCCCCUACCAAAUGGGACAACCCUACCCAUCAUGGCCUCCCCGUGCCCCCUAGCAGAUAACCAGACCCCUGGUAAUGUUACAAAAGACAGACUGGCUGCCAUUGUCUCGGGCAACGAGCAAGACCCAUUGUAAAGAUUUUUAACCUGAAAUGGUAUUUAUAUUUUGUAAUUGGCAUGUUUAAAUAAAGUAUUAAAAAAAAAAAAAAAUUAAUACUAUUUGUCCCUCGUAAUAUACCUUUAUUUUGAAUGUCACUUAGCUACAUGUUAAAGGUGGUAUUAGGGUGCACUCACACUAGGCCAUCUGGCCGUGGCCGUUGGCCGUUUUCACACCUAACCGUGCUCAAAUGGCCCCAUUGUUCUCUGGCCUGCACUCACACUAGGUCAUCUGGCCGUGGCCGUUGGCUGUCGCAGCUGUGGCCUGGCCACGGAAGGCUCUUGUACAUACGUCAUCACGUCGUAACACGUCAUCACCAAGCGUCCGCUGCAUGGACAAUAAUAAAGUCUUCCGCCAGUCAGAGUUUUAACAACAAUGGACAACAACACAGAGAACACACCAACAGUUGAACUGCUUGACGCGAUGUUUACCGUUUAAUGGGAAAGAAGGCUCGUCGCCUUUAUUAUGUCCGUGGUCGUCGCAUUGACUAUACGUCAUCCAGCUCAGGUUGCGUAGCCGUGCGUGUGCACGUGUCGGCUCAUUAGCAUCUGUACCGUAGCGGCCCGUACCGUAGCAGCACACCUCUCCCAAGUGGCCAAAUUGGCCCGGCCUGGCCAGACUGGCCACACUCACACUGGCAGAUUUGAGCAUGGUUAGGCCACGGCCACGGCCAGAUGGCCUAGUGUGAGUGCACCCUCAGAUAAUAAUCGGUUAUGAACAAGAACACUUUAGAAGAAACACUUUAUUUAAAUAAGAAACACUGAACCACACAUCUAAAAAUACACACACACGCAUCUAAAAAUACACACACACGCACACCUAAAAAUACACACACACACACACACACUCUCUCUCUCUCAGCUUUUGAGAGAA